GGGUCGAGCGGGUGUUUUAAUGUUUACUGCGCGGUUUUGGCACCAGCCACCAUAGCGUAGCGAAAGCAGACGCAGGCGCAUAGUUGCCCAAACAGUCGUUGACGUCAGGAGCGGUGGGCGGGCUUGAUUGUACGCUUCCGCUAGGAAGAGGACUCUCUGAUCAUGGACGAAUUCGCUCUGGGCUGAACGGCAGGCUCAACAUGGGAGCUUCUGGGGGCCUCCCGUAAACGCACCUUGUUUUCCUUUGUCGACACGGCCAUAGCAGGAAAAGUGAACGAGGACAGUAAUGGGCGAGCACAUACCGGUGCUUCUAGUCACGGCCAACGUAGGAUCCAUCUUUGAAGAGCCUCGAACACUUUUGCCGGGAUGGAUAGGAGAGUUCCUUCGGAUGGUGAAGCAGUUUCAGCCCAGUUUCCUGGCUCUACAUUGUCAAGAAGUAGGUGGGAAAAACUACGAAAGGACCAUGCCUCAUGUUUCCGACUUUAUCAGAACUCUCAUGGGCAGCGAGGAGCUCUCAAGUUACACAGCAGUCCAAGUGUUCUUGGACGAGGACUUCUCUUGUAUAGAAAAGUUUACGGCCCUGGGCAAUUUGUACUUUGUCCAUCAGUCCUUGAAAAACCCCCAGAUCUGGGAUUUUCAAGAGUGCUGCUUUCGACCAGUCACGACAAAGGAGGUUCAUUCUGGAAACAUAGAAAAGGUGUUCACCAAAGAAAAGGUUAAGUUUCCCCAGGAACUUUUUCCAGAGUGCAAGUGGUCAAGAAAAGGCUUUAUGCGAACAAGAUGGAGUUUUCAAGGCACAGUAUUUGACCUAAUCAAUAUACAUCUCUUCCAUGAUGAAUCAAACUUCAUAGCCAUGGAAUCAUUUCCUUCUUCUUACACAAAAAAUAGGCAAGGAGCACUUGACUACACUCUGAACAGGAUUCAGAGUGACAAGUAUGAAAAUGUUCCAUUCUUCAUCUUUGGAGACUUCAAUUUUAGACUUGACACGCAGGCCGUCAUAGAGAAAAUCACAGAUAAGGCACCUCCAGUUCAAGUGAAAAGUGCCAAAAAUGGAGAUGUCACAAAAGUUCUCUUCAGGGAUCCCAAAGAUGAGAAUAAGGUGGUGCUUACAGUCGAAAGAAAAGUAUUCUCUCUCCAAGACCAUGAGGAGGCUUUCUACCGGAAUGAUGGAAAAUGGCUCCAAGAGCAUGACAAAGAACCGAGCCUGUUUAAGGACCGUCUUUUUGAAUUUGACAUUGCCUUCCCGCCUAGCUAUCCAUUCAAAGAGGAGUCUUCAGGGGCUCGCAGUUACAUGCGGACACGCUGUCCUGCCUGGUGUGACCGCAUUUUGCUUAGCAAAUCGGCCAAAGCCUUGGUGUACACGGGUCCUGAUGAAGGUGGCAAAGCAUCGGUGGUGUACCACAUAAUGGGGCCGAAUGUGUGCAUGGGCGACCACAAGGUACGUGUCCUCCGGGCUGUGUUGCUAAAGGCGAGGCGCGCAAGGGUGCCAGCCCGCACCGGUCCUCGAGGUUGCUUAGGGGCUGCCCAGCUGGGUGCCGCCUCCUGUGACCACUUCCCACUUGUGCAUGGCUCCCCCGUUCUGUUGUGCAUGGCCAUUAUGUUUGCUUUAAGCGUGGUAGUCGGAGUUUUUCGUCAUGUCUAGGUGCAUGAGGCCUCUAGUCAACAACCCAGUCAGAACAGGUUUGACAUGCCCUUUUGUGUUGAGCUGUAUCAGAAGCCUGCCCUGGAGGAAGCAGCCACCCGCUACAUCCAGGUCAAGGUUCCAGGCUCACCUGUGCGCAUCUUCCGAGAAACCACCGUGUGAACUUGCCACUUGAUAGCAUAAUGCCCUCACCUUUUGUUAGCGCAUCUGUGACAUAGCUGCAACGCAACACUGUUUGUGUAAGGACUCUGUGCAAGGUGCUGUCGAGCUGACUUCUUGUUGGAGCCAUUUUAAGUUGAGAUCUGACAUUACAUGUGCCAGUCCACGAAUUCGUAACCUCAGCACUGUAGCAUUGAAAGUGGUAGUAAUGCCAUGCAUUUUAUACCAAGUUUAGUGCCACGCUUUGAUGUGGGGCAGUUGGUUCUUAUUUUAAUUUUUGACGUGCACCUUCAAUUACGAAAACACACAGACAUGUACACACACAAAUUCAUAUAAUACAUAAAUAUGUAUGUCUAAUGCCACCUUGCAUCUGCACAUUUGCUUUUGUUCUGUUGUUCCACAAAAAUUGCUAGCAAGUUAAGCUGGCACUUAUUGCUUUCAGUUUAAUUGUUAAGAACAGGCACAAUAACAGUGGGGCAAACAUACAUGCACACUUUAAUGGUUAUGACAAGGAAAGUGAUGUCUCACAGGGUGCGUAAAUGCAUGCCAUUCUUCUGCAACAUUUUUCAACAUUGUGGAGACUACAUCAGGUCCCCCCACCCUUUUUUUGUCUGCACAGGAGUAUACAAAGUCAUUCUACAAUCUCGCGAAGUAUCGUUUAAUGUAGGAAGGCUACUAUUCAAGCCUCUCCCUCAGGGCCCUUUGAGAUUAUGCGUGUAUUAUCACCAAUUUUCACUUCACACUUAUUUACUAUUUAUGAUCCAUUUGUUGUGCCAAAAUUGUUUUGUGUGCAUGUGACCUUGUGUUGUGCAACGUUUGUAUGGUUGAUCCACUUGCGCUACACCCCAUUGAAGGUGAUAUUCUCGUUAUUUAAUGCGGUGACUCGCGUUGGGCGUCGCGACUGCCGGCCGCCGCGUCGCACAAAGUGUUACACAGUGCAGUGUUCCGUCCAGUGGUCUCGAGGGCCGCGCCGUGAUGCUGUACGAUCGUCACAAAGUCAAGUUAUGUUUUUAGCGUUGUUGCAUAUGUGCACAUUUUUCGGUAGUCUGUAAGCAUCGGCUUCUUGAUCGUCACCUGCCAUCUUUGAUCCGAUCGCAAUAAAUGGUGCAAAUCCUUUU
rnacentral:misc_RNA from 1 species